rnacentral:rRNA from 1 species
UACGUAGGUGGCAAGCGUUGUCCGGAUUUACUGGGCGUAAAGAGCGCGCAGGCGGUCGUUCAAGUCGCGUGUGAAAGCCCCCGGCUCAACUGGGGAGGUCACGCGAUACUGAUCGACUCGAAGGCAGGAGAGGGAAGUGGAAUUCCCGGUGUAGUGGUGAAAUGCGUAGAUAUCGGGAGGAACACCAGUGGCGAAGGCGGUUGCCUGGGGCUUUGGCUGACGCUGAUGCGCGAAAGCGUGGGGAGCGAGUCCGG